AUGUGGUGUCAGAUGGAUUGGGACAGUGCAGGGCGCCCAGGGAUGACCAGAGGCUGUUCAGUGUGGGUGAUGCUUAGGAGAUGCAGGACAUUGCCCAUGGCACGUGACCACCCCAAAAACCUGCUGUUUCCAGCCAAAUCUGCCAGCAGGAUGAUCCUGGCCACCAAAACCCCAUCCUGUGGCCACAGGCAGGAGGUGGCAGGGUCACCUGGGGACUUGAGGUGCCAGGGAGUGCCCUGUCUGCAGCUGGCCAGGGUCCCCACCGCACCCUCCUGCUGCAGCCGCCUGUUCCCCAUUCAUCUCAUCCCAAAUCUCCUGGCACAGCUUCCCUGGCACCCCCCGGACCCCGAGGGUCCCAUAGGGAGGGGGCAAAGCCCCCCGUGCCUCGAGCAGCUCCUUGCAGGUCACUGCUCGUCCUCCACGGCCACAACCAGCUGCACAAUCCUGGUGCAAGGAGCGGGAAAAUCCUGGAGCGAGGAGCUGCGUGAUCCCCGUGUGUUCCUGGUGCAAGGGAUGCACGACCCCGGCCCGAAGGGAUGCGGGAUCCUGGCACAAGGAGCUUCAUGGUCCCCGUGUGUUCCUGAUGAAAAGGGAUGCAGGAUCCUGGUUCACGGGACUGCACAACCCGAUCACAGCGCUGCCUUCACCUCCCACCCCAUCCCUCCUCUCCUGACCCGUUUUAGGGGUGGAAACCCGCACUUUCGGGGAGAAGAAAAAGCAUUUUGGGGAGGAACCCCCCUCAUUUCAAGGAAGGAAAGCACCAAGCCCAAACUCCCGCGGUGGCCCGGGCGGGGACUACAAGUCCCGGCAGGCGCGGACUGCAGCUCCCGGCGUGCCCGGGGCCGGCGGAGCGGAGCGAGGGCAGCGGAACGGGCCGCGCCGGGCCGGGCGGGCGCUGCUGCUGCCCUCCCUCGGCACGGGGCCGAGCCGGGCCGAACCGGGCCGGACUGCGCCGAGCCGAGCCGAGCCGAGCAGCCCGACCGAACCGCGCCUAGCGCCGCCGAACCGGCCCGAGCGCCGCCGAACCGGGCCGAGAAGACGAACUGA
rnacentral:lncRNA from 13 species